CAUGAUUGCGAGGACAUCUUGCCGGGCCUUCCAAUCGCAGAAUUGUAUAUCGAAGCGAGCCACCUCUAGAGCCUGGUAUGCGUCCAAGAACUUGCCAUCGGAUCUUUGAAGCUUAGACCUCGGAUCCUCUACUUCAAACAAGAAGAGCGAGAAAAGGAGAUUGGAAGAGCUAGAGCAGCAACGGUGGCAAUGGCGGCGGACAUCUCAACUGAAUUCGGAUCCGGGUCGGGUCUGAAUUUGGCAAAUAGUUGCCACCGGAUCAAGAAGAAGAAGAAGAAUGAGGUAGUAUGAAUAUUAAAUUUGGUAGUUAUUUUACUCAAAAGAGAGAGAAGAAGAGAGAUUUUGGAGAUUCUAGUGAUAAGAAGUUGGCUGGAGAGCGAUCUCAACUGGCCUUCCAUGGCCAGCCACGUGUGAAGAUGUGGGCUCCUUCAGUUGCACACGUGGCGCCUUCAUUCUCCACAUGUUUAUGUCUUUGCACCAUAUUUUGGAGUAUCUACAUUCAAUUUUAUGAGUACUUGAUAUUUUGUUUGUGGACA